GACGAACCGUCCAAACGUUGUUCGGAAUCACUGGGCUUAAAGGGCGCGUAGGCGGACUGCCAAGUCCGGGGUGAAAUCUUUCGGCUUAACCGGAAAAGGGCCUUGGAAACUGGCGGUCUCGAGGGAGGUAGGGGCCUGUGGAACUUCGGGUGGAGCGGUGAAAUGCGUUGAUAUCCGAAGGAACGCCGGUGGCGAAAGCGACGGGCUGGAUCUCUUCUGACGCUGAGGCGCGAAAGCUAGGGUAGCGAACGGG
rnacentral:rRNA from 1 species